rnacentral:rRNA from 1 species
GACGAACGCUGGCGGCGUGCUUAACACAUGCAAGUCGAACGGAAAGGCCCUGCUUUUGUGGGGUGCUCGAGUGGCGAACGGGUGAGUAACACGUGAGUAACCUGCCCUUGACUUUGGGAUAACUUCAGGAAACUGGGGCUAAUACCGGAGAGGAGCUCCUGCUGCAUGGUGGGGGUUGGAAAGUUUCGGCGGUUGGGGAUGGACUCGCGGCUUAUCAGCUUGUUGGUGGGGUAGUGGCUUACCAAGGCUUUGACGGGUAGCCGGCCUGAGAGGGUGAACGGCCACCUUGGGACUGCGAUACGGCCCAGAAUCCUACGGGAGGCAGCAGUGGGGAAUAUUGCACAAUGGGCGGAAGCCUGAUGCAGCAACGCCGCGUGCGGGAUGACGGCCUUCGGGUUGUAAACCGCUUUCGCCUGUGACGAAGCGUGCGUGACGGUAAUGGGUAAAGAAGCACCGGCUAACUACGUG